UGCAGGUUGAGAGGCUGAAAAAUCCAAAACAGUUUUCUUUGGGUUGUGCGAGCUGUGUUUGACAAGGUAACCCGUGGCAGGAGGGAAAACUGUGAUUGAAGAGUUCACCGUUGGACCAGUAGGUACACUCAUCCAGUAUGCAGGGGCCUGGGACAACAGUUGGGUAGGCAGAGAUGGGCUGAUCCCCGGAGCGCUUGCCAGGCCCAAACAGGGAUGAUUCAGUCCCUUGUGAGAGACUGUGAACGACAGGUGUCAGCAUUAACUGUGCAGAUUCACAGCUGGGGGCAGAGGAUGGAGGAGGAGGACGCAGCUGUGUUCGCAGCUCUCAAACUUCUCAGCUUCCUGCACCAAGUCAAGUUGUAGAAGAUGAACCUCAGAGCUCCCAGUAUGUUGGGAACUGGACACAAAGGACACCGAAUUUGUUCCAUUUGACAUGUUUUCUCAUGGAAAUAAUGUUGAGAGACUGGGUUCAGCCCAACAGUCACGACAGGAACAUAUUGACUAGAAAGUCUUAGAGUCUUAAAAAUCUAAUCUGUAUAUUUAUCCUAUUACCAACAAGUUGAUAUCUCUCUUUUUUUGUUUGUUUAUUUGCCUUUUUGUUGUUGUUUUUGAGUGUUGGGAAUUCACACAGUUAAUAAAUUGAGAAACUCUCAUAUCUAUACAUUAGACCUCAUUGUUCUUGAUUUC
rnacentral:lncRNA from 1 species